rnacentral:rRNA from 1 species
GGUUAAGUUAAUAAGGGCGCACGGUGGAUGCCUUGGCACUAGAAGCCGAAGAAGGACGUGACUAACGACGAAAUGCCUUGGGGAGCUGUAAGUAAGCAAUGAUCCAGGGGUGUCCGAAUGGGGGAACCCGGCAGGUAAAGCCUGUCACUCACUACUGUUAAGGUAGUGAAGAGGAAGACGCAGUGAACUGAAACAUCUAAGUAGCUGCAGGAAGAGAAAGCAAAAGCGAUUGCCUUAGUAGCGGCGAGCGAAACGGCAGGAGGGCAAACCGAGGAGUUUACUCCUCGGGGUUGUAGGACUGCAAAGUGGACUUAAAGAGUAUAGAAGAACUACCUGGGAAGGUAGGCCAAAGAGAGUAACAGCCUCGUAUUUGAAAUAGUCUUUAUACCUAGCAGUAUCCUGAGUACGGCGAGACACGCGAAAUCUCGUCGGAAUCUGGGAGGACCAUCUCCCAACCCUAAAUACUCUCUAGUGACCGAUAGUGAACCAGUACCGUGAGGGAAAGGUGAAAAGAACCCCGGAAGGGGAGUGAAAUAGAACCUGAAACCGUGUGCCUACAACAAGUUCGAGCCCGUUAAUGGGUGAGAGCGUGCCUUUUGUAGAAUGAACCGGCGAGUUACGAUAUGAUGCGAGGUUAAGUUGAAGAGACGGAGCCGUAGGGAAACCGAGUCUUAAUAGGGCGGAUUAGUAUUAUGUCGUAGACCCGAAACCAUGUGACCUACCCAUGAGCAGGUUGAAGGUGCGGUAAGACGCACUGGAGGACCGAACCAGGGCACGUUGAAAAGUGCUUGGAUGACUUGUGGGUAGCGGAGAAAUUCCAAACGAACUUGGAGAUAGCUGGUUCUCUCCGAAAUAGCUUUAGGGCUAGCGUCGACAUUGAGAAUCUUGGAGGUAGAGCACUGUUUGGAUGAGGGGGCCAUCUCGGUUUACUGAUUUCAGAUAAACUCCGAAUGCCAA